rnacentral:rRNA from 1 species
UACAGGGGGUGCAAACGUUGCUCGGAAUCAUUGGGCGUAAAGCGCACGUAGGCGGUCUGUUAUGUCGGAUGUGAAAGCCCCUCGGCUCAACUGAGGAAGUGCAUCCGAAACUGGCAGGCUGGAGUACCAAAGAGGGUCGCGGAAUUCCCAGUGUAGAGGUGAAAUUCGUAGAUAUUCGGAAGAACACCAGUGGCGAAGGCGACUCACUGGACACGUAUUGACGCUGAGGUGCGAAAGCGUGGGGAGCAAACAGG